UUUUUCCUUCUUUCGUGCCACUAGCAAAAUUAAAACCCGAAAAUAUUCAAUCCAACAUUAUCCAGACACAGAAGUGAUCAAAAGAUCGCAACAGACUCGAGAAUCCAAGCAAAUGAAAAAUAAAACGAGAAAUUCCACGAGAUCAGCCAAACAAAAGAAAAACAAGGAAAGAGAAAGAUGCAGAUCUCCAUAUUAAAGGUGAAAAGACCUGCGCUGCAAGAGGUAGGAGG
rnacentral:misc_RNA from 1 species